AGUGAACGCUGGCGGUAGGCCUAACACAUGCAAGUCGAGCGGCAGCACAGUACUUGCUCCUUCAUUCGGGUGGCGACUGGCGGUUGGGUGCGGAAUAUCUGGGUAUUUACUUUUUAUAGGGGGCGAAAGUGGGGACUAAUACGCCAUUCCCGCUUAGGAAGUACGGGUGGAAGCAUGGGACCUUCGGCUAUCGCGUGAUCCUAUGUCGCAUUGUCUGAUUGGCGGGUUAAAGGCCCACCAAGGCGACGAGCCGAAGCUGGUCUGAGAGUAUGAUCAGCCACACGGGAACUGAGACACGGUCCAGACUCCUACGGGAGGCAGCAGGGGGGAAUAUUGGACAAGGGGCGCAAGCCUGAUCCAGCCAGACCGCGGGGGUGAAGAAGGCCUUCGGGUUGUAAAGCCCUUUUGUUGGGAAAGAAAAGCAGCAGGUUAAAACCCCGCUGUUCUGACGGUACCCAAAGAAUAAACACCGGCUAACUUCUU
rnacentral:rRNA from 1 species